rnacentral:rRNA from 1 species
UACGUAGGGUGCAAGCGUUAAUCGGAAUUACUGGGCGUAAAGCGUGCGCAGGCGGUUUUGUAAGUCUGUCGUGAAAGCCCCGGGCUUAACCUGGGAAUUGCGAUGGAGACUGCAAGGCUUGAAUCUGGCAGAGGGGGGUAGAAUUCCACGUGUAGCAGUGAAAUGCGUAGAGAUGUGGAGGAACACCGAUGGCGAAGGCAGCCCCCUGGGCCUGCACUGACGCUCAUGCACGAAAGCGUGGGGAGCAAACAGG